rnacentral:rRNA from 1 species
CCCCGCAGGCCUUCCCAUGCAGUCGACGGUAACAGGAAGCAAGCUUGCUUCUUCGCUGACGAGUGGCGGACGGGUGAGUAAUGUCUGGGAAACUGCCUGAUGGAGGGGGAUAACUACUGGAAACGGUAGCUAAUACCGCAUAACGUCGCAAGACCAAAGAGGGGGACCUUCGGGCCUCUUGCCAUCGGAUGUGCCCAGAUGGGAUUAGCUAGUAGGUGGGGUAACGGCUCACCUAGGCGACGAUCCCUAGCUGGUCUGAGAGGAUGACCAGCCACACUGGAACUGAGACACGGUCCAGACUCCUACGGGAGGCAGCAGUGGGGAAUAUUGCACAAUGGGCGCAAGCCUGAUGCAGCCAUGCCGCGUGUAUGAAGAAGGCCUUCGGGUUGUAAAGUACUUUCAGCGGGGAGGAAGGGAGUAAAGUUAAUACCUUUGCUCAUUGACGUUACCCGCAGAAGAAGCACCGGCUAACUCCGUGCCAGCAGCCGCGGUAAUACGGAGGGUGCAAGCGUUAAUCGGAAUUACUGGGCGUAAAGCGCACGCAGGCGGUUUGUUAAGUCAGAUGUGAAAUCCCCGGGCUCAACCUGGGAACUGCAUCUGAUACUGGCAAGCUUGAGUCUCGUAGAGGGGGGUAGAAUUCCAGGUGUAGCGGUGAAAUGCGUAGAGAUCUGGAGGAAUACCGGUGGCGAAGGCGGCCCCUGGACGAAGACUGACGCUCAGGUGCGAAAGCGUGGGAGCAAACAGGAUUAGAUACCCUGGUAGUCCACGCCGUAGACCGAUGUCACUUGGAGGUUGUGCCCUUUGAGGCGUGGCUACCGGACCGAACGCGUUAC